rnacentral:rRNA from 1 species
GACGAACGCUGGCGGCGUGCCUAACACAUGCAAGUCGAGCGGAGAUAUGAUGAAGCUUGCUUUUGAUUAUCUUAGCGGCGGACGGGUGAGUAACACGUGGGCAACCUGCCUCAGAGUGGGGGAUAACACCGAGAAAUCGGUGCUAAUACCGCAUAACGUACGGAUUUCGCAUGAUAACCGUACCAAAGGAGUAAUCCGCUUUGAGAUGGGCCCGCGGCUGAUUAGCUAGUUGGUGAGGUAAUGGCUCACCAAGGCAACGAUCAGUAGCCGACCUGAGAGGGUGACCGGCCACACUGGAACUGAGACACGGUCCAGACUCCUACGGGAGGCAGCAGUGGGGAAUAUUGCGCAAUGGGGGAAACCCUGACGCAGCAACGCCGCGUGGAGGAAGAAGGUCUUCGGAUUGUAAACUCCUGUCUUCUGGGACGAUAAUGACGGUACCAGAGGAGGAAGCCACGGCUAACUACGUGCCAGCAGCCGCGGUAAUACGUAGGUGGCGAGCGUUGUCCGGAAUUACUGGGCGUAAAGGGCGCGUAGGCGGCUCUUUAAGUCAGAUGUGAAAACCCAGGGCUUAACUUUGGGACUGCAUUUGAAACUGAAGGGCUUGAGUGCAGGAGAGGUAAGUGGAAUUCCUAGUGUAGCGGUGAAAUGCGUAGAUAUUAGGAGGAACACCAGUGGCGAAGGCGACUUACUGGACUGUAACUGACGCUGAGGCGCGAAAGCGUGGGGAGCAAACAGGAUUAGAUACCCUGGUAGUCCACGCUGUAAACGAUGGAUACUAGGUGUGGGAGGUAUCGACCCCUUCCGUGCCGCAGUAAACGCAAUAAGUAUCCCGCCUGGGGAGUACGGCCGCAAGGUUG